GACGAACCGUGCGAACGUUGUUCGGAAUCACUGGGCUUAAAGGGCGCGUAGGCGGUUUGCCAAGUCAGGGGUGAAAUCCUGCAGCUCAACUGUAGAAGUGCCUUUGAUACUGGCGAACUCGAGGGAGGUAGGGGUGCGCGGAACUUCUGGUGGAGCGGUGAAAUGCGUUGAUAUCAGAAGGAACGCCGGUGGCGAAAGCGGCGUACUGGACCUUUUCUAACGCUGAGGCGCGAAAGCUAGGGGAGCAAACGGG
rnacentral:rRNA from 1 species